rnacentral:rRNA from 1 species
CACGCUGUAAACGAUGAUUACUGGUUGUUUGCGAUACACGGCAAGUGACUGAGCGAAAGCAUUAAGUAAUCCACCUGGGGAGUACGUCGGCAACGAUGAAACUCAAAGGAAUUGACGGGG